AAAAGACUUCAGAAGGGAGCAGAUGCCAAACCAGGAAGGGCCUUAUAUGAAAGGCCUUAUUUGGAAAAGCGUUGAUUUUGAUCGUAAGGGAUAACAAUGACUUGCCUAACUCUAUGAUUUCAGAGUCAAUAAAAAUAUAUUUUAAAAAAAGAAAGAAAAAGAAAAAGAAGAAGAAAAUAAAAUAAAAAGAAAAAGAAGGAAA
rnacentral:lncRNA from 1 species